AUGACCUGGCUGAAGUCGGACGCUUAACCGACUGCGCCACCCAGGCGCCCCAUAUAUUUUAAAGAUAAUAGGAUUUGCCAGUGGAUUGGAUAAAAGUUGUGAGAAAGACAAGAAUGAUACCAAGGUUUUAGCCUCUUUGGCUUGAACUAUGGGAAGAUUAGAAUUGCCUUUAAUGGAGAUGAAAACGAUUAUGAAAGGAGCAGGGUUUUGGACAUAGCAAGUUUGAGAUGGCCAUUAGGCAUCCAAGUGGGGAUGUUGAGUAUUGAUGGUCAAAUAAAAGGGUCUGGAGUUCAUGGGAAAAAUCUGUGAUGCAGAUACAAAUCUGAGAGUUAUCAGUGACUUUAAAUACAUCAAAUGUAUUUAAAACCACAGGAUCAGAUGAGAUCAGCAGUGAAACAGGUGUUGAUAGACAAGACUGGAGUCCUAAGCUGGAGUCCAGGACAGUGUGAGGUUGGUGAGAUGAAGGACCAGCACAGGAGACUGAGAAGGACCAGAAAGACUAAGAAUUGCAGCUUGAUGUGGUAAGUAUAGUGAAUGCAGUGGGCAUGGGUCUCUUAAUGUGGUCUUGGGCAAAAUUUCUUUAGUGGUUUGUCUGUUCAGCCACCGGCCUAUCCUGAAUGGCUUCGGUAUCUAGUGUGUGCCAAGAACUAUUUUAAGCAGCAGCCAAGGCAAUAAAGAAAUACAUUUUAGUUGUUGGGAGAGAUUGAGGACAAUGGAUAAUAUGAAAAAAAAAAUCAGCAGUUGUCUUAUAUGUAAAAUGGGUAUCUGUUCUUCCUUCUCAUGGUUGUCAUAAAGAUUUAAUAAGGUAAUGCUCAUGAGGUACUUACCUCCAUGCUUGGAUGAAGAAAGUGCUCAAUGAACAUUUCUUGGUGUUAUUCGGGUCUUGUCAUCUUUGGCCUGGCAACAGUUCCCUGACUGCUGUCUCUUGUGCCACUCUGCUUUAUUUUUCCAAAGUGCUCAUUUUAAUCUUGUCGCUUCUCUUUAAAACCCUGGACCUGCUCUGUGCUCUCUUGCUUCUUUGUAUAUGCUGUUCUCUCUCUUAUACUGCCUUUCUCCAGCCUAAUUUUUUCCCUUAAUUCCUUCUUAUCCUUCAUAUAUUUUGAGAUGACCCUUCUGCUGAAGGUUUGCCUUGCCCUCUCAUAGUGCCUUCUUUUCCCCGCCAUGACUUUUUAUCACCCUGUAUUGUUUAUUUAUUAGAGUCCCCGAUUAGGUCAUAAGCUCCAUGAAGCCAGGUCUGUGUCUUUUACACCACAUUUAACAUAAGCCUGGCUCCAGUUGGAGCCUCAGUAAAUAGUUGUUGAAUGAUUGAAAUUCUUGUAUGUAUGGUUGCAUGUCCAGAGCACAUUCUCUGUCCUCCCUCUGCGCCAGGAUAUCAAGAGGCUAAUUAAAAAGUAGCAUGUCACUAGCAUUUUCUUUAUCUUUCUGUUUUAGUUUGGCAUUUUAUUGUGAAGCAUCAUUAGAGGAAAGUAAAACUUCACUUGAAUAAAAGAUUUGCUCCUAGAUUAUAUGAAAUGAAUAAACAUUUCCCUGAAGUGUUUAAGUUGGCAAUUACCAGCCCAGGGACACUGUUCACCCGUCUGUUUCCCUACAUGCUGCCAACACCUAUGUAAGUAUUCUAUUUAUUAAACUCUAAAAUAAUCCCAAUUGGAGUGUGCCAUCUGCUUCAUGCUGGGACCGUAAUGGAUACAAAUAAGCAUUUGAUCCACAGAGAGAGGAGGACUGCUGACCUGGUAGUUAGCAAAGAUUAAAAAAAAAAA